AGAGCGAACGCUGGCGGCAGGCCUAACACAUGCAAGUCGAGCGCCCCGCAAGGGGAGCGGCAGACGGGAGAGUAACACGUGGGAACGUACCCUUCAGUUCGGAACAACCCAGGGAAACUUGGGCUAAUACCGGAUACGUCCGUAAGGAGAAAGAUUUAUCGCUGAAGGAUCGGCCCGCGUCUGAUUAGCUUGUUGGUGAGGUAACGGCUCACCAAGGCUACGAUCAGUAGCUGGUCUGAGAGGAUGAUCAGCCUCACUGGGACUGAGACACGGCCCAGACUCCUACGGGAGGCAGCAGUGGGGAAUAUUGGACAAUGGGCGCAAGCCUGAUCCAGCCAUGCCGCGUGGGUGAUGAAGGCCCUAGGGUUGUAAAGCCCUUUCGGCGGGGAAGAUAAUGACGGUACCCGCAGAAGAAGCCCCGGCUAACUUCGUGCCAGCAGCCGC
rnacentral:rRNA from 1 species